rnacentral:rRNA from 1 species
UUGAACGCUGGCGGCAGGCCUCACACAUGCAAGUCGCACGGUAACAGGAAGAAGCUUGCUUCUUUGCUGACGAGUGGCGGACGGGUGAGUAAUGUCUGGGAAACUGCCUGAUGGAGGGGGAUAACUACUGGAAACGGUAGCUAAUACCGCAUAAUGUCGCAAGACCCAAGAGGGGGACCUUCGGGCCUCUUGCCAUCGGAUGUGCCCAGAUGGGAUUAGCUAGUAGGUGGGGUAACGGCUCACCUAGGCGACGAUCCCUAGCUGGUCUGAGAGGAUGACCAGCCACACUGGAACUGAGACACGGUCCAGACUCCUACGGGAGGCAGCAGUGGGGAAUAUUGCACAAUGGGCGCAAGCCUGAUGCAGCUAUGCCGCGUGUAUGAAGAAGGCCUUCGGGUUGUAAAGUACUUUCAGCGGGGAGGAAGGGAGUAAAGUUAAUACCUUUGCUCAUUGACGUUACCCGCAGAAGAAGCACCGGCUAACUCCGUG